CGGACUUCCACACUGGGUGCUGAACGGGUCCGAGUAUCCCAAGAUGCCAGCGCAGUUACUGAGGCCAAAAUCUGAGGAAAGGAAGAGGCGGGGGAAAAAGAAGCAGCAAAGCAUUGAACAAGAAAAAGAAACAGAGACUUGAGUUCAAGAGCAUGGCGACCAUACACAGCAAAUCAUCUCAAGGAGAGCCCACCGACAUGGAAAGGCAUGACCGGGCGAAGCUAAUCACCAUAUCCAUUAAUGAAAUGGUGGAGGGCCAAAGUGGUUGUGUGUGUGUGUGCGUCUCUUUUCUUCUGUCCUUCAGCGUCGUCUUUAUUUUAUACUUUCGUCCUUUCAUCUCUGAUAAUUGAUUCACCUCUGAAAAAGCCUUUUUUACAGCUGCUAA